GAUGAACGCUAGCGGGAGGCCUAACACAUGCAAGUCGAGCGGAUGAGUGGAGCUUGCUCCAUGAUUCAGCGGCGGACGGGUGAGUAAUGCCUAGGAAUCUGCCUGGUAGUGGGGGACAACGUUUCGAAAGGAACGCUAAUACCGCAUACGUCCUACGGGAGAAAGCAGGGGACCUUCGGGCCUUGCGCUAUCAGAUGAGCCUAGGUCGGAUUAGCUAGUAGGUGAGGUAAUGGCUCACCUAGGCGACGAUCCGUAACUGGUCUGAGAGGAUGAUCAGUCACACUGGAACUGAGACACGGUCCAGACUCCUACGGGAGGCAGCAGUGGGGAAUAUUGGACAAUGGGCGAAAGCCUGAUCCAGCCAUGCCGCGUGUGUGAAGAAGGUCUUCGGAUUGUAAAGCACUUUAAGUUGGGAGGAAGGGCAGUAAGUUAAUACCUUGCUGUUUUGACGUUACCAACAGAAUAAGCACCGGCUAACUUCGUGCCAGCAGCCGCCGUAACAC
rnacentral:rRNA from 1 species